AACGAACGCUGGCGGCAGGCCUAAUACAUGCAAGUCGAGCGCUCUAGCAAUAGGGAGCGGCGCACGGGUGCGUAACGCGUGGGAAUAUGCCUUUAGGUACGGAACAACCAAGGGAAACUUUGGCUAAUACCGUAUAAUAUCUUCGGAUCAAAGAUUCAUCGCCUAAAGAUUAGCCCGCGUCUGAUUAGCUAGUUGGUGGGGUAAAGGCCUACCAAGGCGACGAUCAGUAGCUGGUCUGAGAGGAUGAUCAGCCACACUGGAACUGAGACACGGUCCAGACUCCUACGGGAGGCAGCAGUAAGGAAUAUUGGACAAUGGGGGAAACCCUGAUCCAGCCAUGCCGCGUGAGUGACGAAGGCCUUAGGGUUGUAAAGCUCUUUUGGUGGAGAAGAUAAUGACUGUAUCCACAGAAUAAGCCCCGGCUAAAUUCGUGCCAGCCGCCGCGGUAAGAC
rnacentral:rRNA from 1 species